UUUUUUUUUAAGUGCAUUCGCGGCCUGGUUUAAAUAGCAUUGUGUGAAAAUGUGCGAACCUGUUCCCUGUAGACGCCGAAGCCUUCAAAGUACAAGGUGGAGCAUCUCAGUCCCCAAGGAGUGAUGCAUCUUACUCGUCUUCUUUACCUUGAACCUUUGCCCAAUGCCUGAAACAUGCUCACAGGACCCGACAUGUGGAGGUGAAGAGGCUGGGGCAUGUCUCGGAUCUCCGCCAGGAGAUCUGUCAGAGAGCCGACAGGGGGCGCCUCGCUCAACAACUGUUUCCGCAGUGUGCAAAGCUUGCCAUUGAAGAUGCAUCUGGAUUCCACACAAUGUCCGGAAAAUGCAGUCAGCUCGGCAAGCUGGCCCGUGCCAGCAGGAUCGCGGGUCAGGAGCCCCUGCCCGAGGAAGAGAAGUGGAGCGCGCGGGACCUCCGACCCGCCUCCGGGACAGGGACCCGCGCAGGCGCCCGGCGAGCGUGGGUUUGCAGGGUUGAAGGUGGGUGUGUGCGGGGUGGGCCGGUGUGGACGCGGGUUGGCGCGGGUGUGCGUGGGUGGGGCGCUGGUGGGCGCAGGUGUGAGCUCGGGCGGGCGCGGGUUGGCGCAGGUGUGGACCGGGGUGUGUGCGGGGUCAGACGCGGGCGCAGGUGCGCUGCGGCGGGAGCUGUCAGGGGGCCGGUGCCAUCGGCGGGGCGCUGCUGGGUGCUCCCCAGGGCGCGCAGGGCCGUGCGCUCGCUGCUUGCCUCGUUAUUUCUUUAAUCCUGUUCAUAUUUAUAAGCCUGGAUCCAAAAACCCGAGAGCCGUAGGCUUCCUCCCAUUCUCCAGUAUCGAAAUCUGUAUUCCUGAGCAAGGGCAUGCAGACUCGGAUGUUAUAUUAACAGAUAAAUUACCUAUGUUUUGAAAACCACAAUUCUCAAAAGUUACCAGCUGGCCGGCAGUUCCUAACAUUUUGCACAUUUAAUUG
rnacentral:lncRNA from 1 species